rnacentral:piRNA from 1 species
UGGUGUCAGUGUGAAGAACUGUGAGGU